rnacentral:rRNA from 1 species
CACGUAGGCGGAUAUUUAAGUCAGGGGUGAAAUCCCGAGGCUCAACCUCGGAACUGCCUUUGAUACUGGGUAUCUAGAGUCCGGAAGAGGUGAGUGGAAUUCCGAGUGUAGAGGUGAAAUCCGUAGAUAUCCGGAGGAACACCAGUGGCGAAGGCGGCUUCCUGGCCGGAUACUGACGCUCAAGUGCGAAAGCUGGGGGAGCGAACG